rnacentral:rRNA from 1 species
GACGAACGCUGGCGGCGUGCUUAACACAUGCAAGUCGAACGGAAAGGCCCUGCUUUUGCGGGGUGCUCGAGUGGCGAACGGGUGAGUAACACGUGAGUAACCUGCCCUUGACUUUGGGAUAACUUCAGGAAACUGGGGCUAAUACCGGAUAGGAGCUCCUGCUGCAUGGUGGGGGUUGGAAAGUUUCGGCGGUUGGGGAUGGACUCGCGGCUUAUCAGCUUGUUGGUGGGGUAGUGGCUUACCAAGGCUUUGACGGGUAGCCGGCCUGAGAGGGUGACCGGCCAAAUUGGGACUGAGAUACGGCCCAGACUCCUAAGGGAGGCAGCAGUGGGGAAUAUUGCAAAAUGGGCGGAAGCCUGAUGCAGCAACGCCGCGUGCGGGAUGACGGCCUUCGGGUUGUAAACCGCUUUCGCCUGUGACGAAGCGUGAGUGACGGUAAUGGGUAAAGAAGCACCGGCUAACUACGUG